rnacentral:rRNA from 1 species
AUUGAACGCUGGCGGCAGGCCUAACACAUGCAAGUCGAGCGGAUGAAGGGAGCUUGCUCCUGGAUUCAGCGGCGGACGGGUGAGUAAUGCCUAGGAAUCUGCCUGGUAGUGGGGGAUAACGUCCGGAAACGGGCGCUAAUACCGCAUACGUCCUGAGGGAGAAAGUGGGGGAUCUUCGGACCUCACGCUAUCAGAUGAGCCUAGGUCGGAUUAGCUAGUUGGUGGGGUAAAGGCCUACCAAGGCGACGAUCCGUAACUGGUCUGAGAGGAUGAUCAGUCACACUGGAACUGAGACACGGUCCAGACUCCUACGGGAGGCAGCAGUGGGGAAUAUUGGGCAAUGGGCGAAAGCCUGAUCCAGCCAUGCCGCGUGUGUGAAGAAGGUCUUCGGAUUGUAAAGCACUUUAAGUUGGGAGGAAGGGCAGUAAGUUAAGACCUUGCUGUUUUGACGUUACCAACAGAAUAAGCACCGGCUAACUUCGU